CUCGCAAAAGGCUCUCUCAUACCGAACGAUAAUGCCCCUCGUAAGUCAUAGUGAUGUAUAUGCUCGUUCGCACUUCUAUAAGACCCUUUCACGGGUCUCCAACCGUACCUCAAUCGUGCCAAUGUACUUUUCUGGGACUUUGCCAUUUCAUUUAUAUAACCUAUACAGUGAUAUACUUUAGGGAUAUUGUGAAAAACAGCUCUCUUUUUUGAAUGGUCAUUAAAAGGAUUAUAUACACUUGAAUAUUUUAUUUUAAAAUAUUUUAAAAGACGUAAGAUUUGGGCAUAGCCGGCUUAAAUUUCAUUGAUGCUACUAAUACCGAGUUCAAAAACACGGAAAUUAGUAAUGAAUGAGCUUAUUCACAUUGGAGUACAAUUCUGAAAUUGGUGGGUGGAUUUUGAUUGAAGAAAUAAAAUCCCCGGAAGUAUAUAGAGGCAUCAAAAUUAAGCCGAAUUGAGAGACUUAGAAAAGAGUUGGAAGAAGGAGGAGAAAAAGACGAAAAGUAGUUCUUUAAUAAGCACGAGCAUGUGUGGAUUAUCAUCAGGGGCCACCAACAAUAGGCCCGUAAACUAGAUCUGGAGCAAGGAAAGGGUUGGAAAGACAACAGCAAGAAAAAAGGGAGAAUAUAUAUGAUAAAGAGUAGGGGAAAGCGUCGUAAAUCAUCGGUUAACGCACUGUUUAGGCGGGGCGGUUUCACGGUUUCAGAUGAUAACAGAUGAACCCAUCAUUGCAGAUUUAUCCAACCAGCAUCAGUAUCUGAGAUAUAAUCAGUCUGCAUAUCAUUUGGAUGGAACAUUACAAUUAAAUACCAGGGUGGAGAGUGAUAUCUGAGACGUCUCUUUUGGGGUAAAAAGCCGGCAGUCAUGGCCUAAUUCCAUGAAUACGAGUGAUGUUAUUGCUAUAGUCAGCGGUUGGCUAAUUCCAAAGCGGAUACUACAACGUCAACAGCUGUCACUGUUUGUUGGUUUGCGCGAGGGAUUACUUGAAAAUAGAUCAAGGGGAGCAAUCCUAGUAUCGUCGACGAUCAUGAAAUGUUACGCUGAAGAUAAUCCGUAUUAAUGAUUGUUCUGGGGUAAAAGCAGUCAUCAUGUCAUCUCGAAAACUUUCACUGGAGUUCAAAGAUAUGUGAGGAUCUCAGGUGACUCGAUAGAGGAGCAAACAAAUAUGCAAAAUGAAAGAUACCCUCUAGGAAUGAUCGAUGUCUAGAGUUGGGCCACCGUUGGGCGACUCAUGGUAAGUUUCCAAAACUGAGUUUCUAAUGUGAUCAGCUUUAGUGUAGGAUUGUCUAGUCGCACAAGUAUGCCAACCGCUUGACAUGGGAAGUCUAUACCUCAUCAUACUAGAGCUUCGUGAUCUUGAAGGUGAAAAUGCGACGCUUUUUCUUCCUACUCAUAUGGUUCGUUAUGUCGUGGACUCGAGAAAGCAACCGGGAUAAUUAAUGGAUCGAAAAAAACAUCACCGCCCGCAGAGAAAGAUCAUUGUUUAAAGAUUCAGGUAGUCAGGAAUAAAAAGCCUUCAAUGAUGGCUCCACCAGCCUUAUAACUCUCUAGCUACCUCACUCUCUUCAACUCUUUUACCAUUUAUCAAAGCAGCCGCAAAGAUCCACUCCAAUGUCUGUUAUAGUCUUGCAAAAUCAAUAUUGUGACGUUUAUUUUGCC